AGAACGAAUGCUGGCGGCAGGCUUAACACAUGCAAGUCGAGCGCCCCGCAAGGGGAGCGGCGCACGGGUGAGUAACGCGUGGGAAUAUGCCCUUUGGUACGGAAUAGCCUCGGGAAACUGGGAGUAAUACCGUAUAUGUCGAGAGAUGAAAGAUUUAUCGCCAAAGGAUUAGCCCGCGUUAGAUUAGCUUGUUGGUGGGGUAAUGGCCUACCAAGGCGACGAUCUAUAGCUGGUCUGAGAGGAUGAUCAGCCACACUGGAACUGAGACACGGUCCAGACUCCUACGGGAGGCAGCAGUGGGGAAUAUUGCACAAUGGACGAAAGUCUGAUGCAGCCAUGCCGCGUGAGUGAUGAAGGCCUUAGGGUUGUAAAGCUCUUUUGGCGGGGACGAUAAUGACGGUACCCGCAGAAUAAGCCCCGGCUAACUUCGUGCCAGCAGCCGC
rnacentral:rRNA from 1 species